rnacentral:rRNA from 1 species
GACGAACGCUGGCGGCGUGCUUAACACAUGCAAGUCGAACGGUAAGGCUCCAGCUUGCUGGGGUACACGAGUGGCGAACGGGUGAGUAACACGUGGGUGACCUGCCCUGCACUUCGGGAUAAGCCUGGGAAACUGGGUCUAAUACCGGAUAGGACCGCACCGUGAGGGUGUGGUGGAAAGUUUUUUCGGUGUGGGAUGGGCCCGCGGCCUAUCAGCUUGUUGGUGGGGUAAUGGCCUACCAAGGCGGCGACGGGUAGCCGGCCUGAGAGGGUGGACGGCCACAUUGGGACUGAGACACGGCCCAGACUCCUACGGGAGGCAGCAGUGGGGAAUAUUGCACAAUGGGCGGAAGCCUGAUGCAGCGACGCCGCGUGGGGGAUGACGGCCUUCGGGUUGUAAACUCCUUUCACCAUCGACGAGGGGUUUCUGACGGUAGAUGGAGAAGAAGCACCGGCUAACUACGUGCCAGCAGCCGCGGUAAUACGUAGGGUGCGAGCGUUGUCCGGAAUUACUGGGCGUAAAGAGCUCGUAGGUGGUUUGUCGCGUCGUCUGUGAAAUUCCGGGGCUUAACUCCGGGCGUGCAGGCGAUACGGGCAUAACUUGAGUACUGUAGGGGAGACUGGAAUUCCUGGUGUAGCGGUGAAAUGCGCAGAUAUCAGGAGGAACACCGGUGGCGAAGGCGGGUCUCUGGGCAGUAACUGACGCUGAGGAGCGAAAGCAUGGGGAGCGAACUGGAUUAGAUACCCUGGUAGUCCAUGCCGUAAACGGUGGGCGCUAGGUGUGGGUUUCCUUCCACGGGAUCCGUGCCGUAGCUAACGCAUUAAGCGCCCCGCCUGGGGAGUACGGCCGCAAGGCUAAAACUCAAAGGAAUUGACGGGGGCCCGCACAAGCGGCGGAGCAUGUGGAUUAAUUCGAUGCAACGCGAAGAACCUUACCUGGGCUUGACAUAUACAGGAUCGCGCCAGAGAUGGUGUUUCCCUUGUGGCUUGUAUACAGGUGGUGCAUGGUUGUCGUCAGCUCGUGUCGUGAGAUGUUGGGUUAAGUCCCGCAACGAGCGCAACCCUUGUCUUAUGUUGCCAGCACGUUGUGGUGGGGACUCGUAAGAAACUGCCGGGGUUAACUCGGAGGAAGGUGGGGAUGACGUCAAAUCAUCAUGCCCCUUAUGUCCAGGGCUUCACACAUGCUACAAUGGUCGGUACAGUGGGUUGCCAGUCCGUGAGGGCGAGCUAAUCCCGCAAAGCCGGUCUCAGUUCGGAUCGGGGUCUGCAACUCGACCCCGUGAAGUCGGAGUCGCUAGUAAUCGCAGAUCAGCAACGCUGCGGUGAAUACGUUCCCGGGCCU